GUGCUCACUUCAGCAGCUCAUGUACUAAAAUUGGAACAAUCCAGAGAAGAUUAGCAUGGCCCCUACACAAGAAUUACAUGCAAAUUUGUGAAGUGUUCCAUAUUUCU